rnacentral:rRNA from 1 species
GACGAACGCUGGCGGCGUGCUUAACACAUGCAAGUCGAGCGGAAAGGCCCUUCGGGGUACUCGAGCGGCGAACGGGUGAGUAACACGUGAGUAACCUGCCCCAGACUUUGGGAUAACCCUCGGAAACGGGGGCUAAUACCGGAUACGACACAGCUUCGCAUGGGGUCUGUGUGGAAAGUUUUUCGGUUUGGGAUGGGCUCGCGGCCUAUCAGCUUGUUGGUGGGGUGAUGGCCUACCAAGGCGACGACGGGUAGCCGGCCUGAGAGGGCGACCGGCCACAGGGGGAGUGAGAAAGGGCCAGGACGCCGAGGGGGGGAAGGAGGGGGGAAGAUGGAAAAAGGGGGGGAAGCUGUAGGAAGCGACGAGGGGGGAGGAAGGACGGCCUUGGGGUGGAAAACCUGUUGCAGAGGGGAAAAAGGGAAAGGAAGGGUACCUGAAAAAGAAGCGCCGGAAAACUACGGG